rfam:Oryza glumipatula chromosome 1, whole genome shotgun sequence.
AAAAAGUACAGUUUUACACGGUUCAUGUUCAACCAUUGAUCAUCUGUUUUAUUUUUAAAAAAUAUGAUUGGUAUUUUAAUUGUUAUUAGAUGAUAAAACAUAAAUAAUACUUUACGUGUGACUAUUUUUUUUUUGAUGUUUUCCAUAAAUUUUUCAAACAGAACGGACGGUCAAAUGUUAGACACGAAAACUCGUAUCUACGCUUAAA